CUUUUUUUUCCCCACCAGGAAGAAUACUCGAUUAGACUGCAUUUUGCCUUGCUUUUCCUUCUCCCUUUCUCUCUCUUUCUUUCUUUCUUUCUUUCUUUCUUUCUUUCUUUCUUUCUUUCUUUCUUUCUUUCUUUCUUUCUUUCUUUUUCUUUCUCUCUCUCUCUCUCUUUCUUUCUUUCCUUUCUUUUCUUUCUUUCCUCUUUCUCUUUCCUUCUUUCUUUUUUUCUUCUUUCUUUCCUUCCUUCCUUCCAUCUUUCUUUUCUUUCUUUCCAUUUUUUUUUUCCUCCAGAAGAAUGGAAACAGUAUUCUUUUCCGAUCAGUUCAGUAAUACAAUGUCCUUCAGUGUCCAUAUGAGCAUUUCAGUGGAGAAGAAAAGAAACUUUGCUACCUGGGAACUGAAGACUACUUAGGCAAAGAUGGGCUGUCUGGAAAGCUGGACUCAGCCUGGAGCAUGUUCCCCAGAUUGCUAUUUUGUGAAGGCUUCCGCAUACAAAUGACUCAGAUCCAAACAUUCAAAAAUGAUCUUGGAGGGCCAUCUGGUUCUUGCUGGUUCUAAAAGCUUCCUUCAGCCUGGAGUAUGGAUCCAGUACAAAAGAUAGUGAGAGCUGUUCAUUGAGGUUUAACAUGUUCCACUGACCGAGGCUAGAAGCUGGCUUUAAAAAAUAGCCAACACUGAUGCUCCAAGGGCCAAUUGCUGAUGCUUGUCACAGUGAAGAUCCCGGUGUUACACAUCCAAUCGUUCACCUCCUUCCAAGACUAUGACAUUCCAGGAAACCUUCACUGCUAAGAGGAACUAAGAUCUAGAGUAUCUCCUCGAGGAAGUACAACUGGAUUCUCCCUCCUUGGUUCUUCCCUGGACCAAGGACAGAAGAAUCAUUCAACACAGAGGCUAUUGACAAAAGGGGCAUAUUUGGUGCAAACAGGGGUAAUUAAUAAGAAGUCCAGUGGCUCACACCUGCGAUCCCAGCACUUUGGGAGGCUGAGAUGGGCAGAUUGCUCGAGCCCAGGAAUUCAAGACCAACCUGGGCAACAUGGCAAAACCCCAUCUCUACAAAAAUACAAAAAUUAACCAGAUGUGAUGGUUCAUGCCUGUAGUCCCAGCUACUCUGGAGGCUGAUGUGGGAGGAUCGCUUGAGCCUAGGAAGUCAAGGCUGCAGUGAGUCAUGAUUGCUCCGCUCCACUGCACUCUGGCCUUGAUGAUAGAGUGAGAACCAGUCUCAAAAAAAAAAAGGUCAUUUUCUAAGCAUUUGUUGAUUCAAUACUGCCCACUAUGUACACUGACAAUUAGACAUAAUUUAAUUUCAGCUCAUGGUAUGAAUGGAGACAAAAUGAAAUCAUUUUAAUGCACAUUAAGGCAAUAUAGUGCCCUUAAAUAAAAAGUUGAAGUUCAUAAGGGACCAUCAUUAAGAUUUAACUUUGUAACAAAUAUUUUGUUUUUGUUUGUUUUAUUUUUAGAUUUGCAUAAUAAAACAUUCAUAUUC
ensembl:lncRNA MIR100HG mir-100-let-7a-2-mir-125b-1 cluster host gene